GUUGCGAGUGAGCGGACUUGAACUAUUAAGUGGCACCGACGAAACGUCGUUCUUCGUAAUCACGAUUGUAGAUCGUCGCGAUCAUUUGUCAGCGAUGGACUCGCAAAUGAGCAUAAAUAGUUGACGUGCUUUACAUGCAUAUUAUAUAGGAUUCACUUUAUCAUGUAAAAAAUCACAGCUGCUCUCUCGUUUGUCCUCGAAGAUUAAUAUGCAUUUACGACGUUUCAUAUUUCAAGCAUAAUGCCGUAUAAUGACUCGGCUAAGUUAUGCUGGAAUAUGAGAGUCGUGAAAAUACAAAGGGCUCCAGCACUCCGUCAGCAUCAGUGGAUGAUUUCGCGCUGUAUCGUUGAUAAACCGAGCAUAAUACUUUUAACGACGCUUUGCAAAGUUCUUAUACUCUGUUUACCGACAAUACAGCGCUCGUAAUUUUGCAAAAUGAUGAUGAACGUCGCGAAUUGAUAAAUCGAUAAAUAUAUCGGGCACAUCACUGUGUUUAAUCCGAAACGUGACUUUAAUUGAUAAGCAUUUGAUUAUAAAUUUUUUUAUGCAAAAGCAAAUGUGCAUUCUGCACAUUUUUUAAUCAAUUAGCGUUGAAUCAAUUAGCGUUGAUAGUAAUGUUGGAAUAAAUGUAAUAUUGCGAUAUUGUUCAUUAAAUGUAGCCACUCCUUUCAAUUCUAUAAUAUUUGUCAUAUAAGUAAUUAAUAUUUUUAAUAUGUAGUUUAUUAAUACUGUUCAUGUUGCGCGUAUGUUUUAUCUUUUUUAUUUUUUAUUUUAUAAGCUUUUAUGACGAUCGUGUAUGUUCACUGCUAACAAACGUGUCACAUUUACUCGAAUUAAUAAAUAAUAUUUUCCGAU